CAAAGUUGCAGACGGCCCGGCCAGUCGUGCAGUGCGCUGCUUCGGCCCCGCGCAGAGAGAAGCAAAGAAAGCUCCGCGGGGGCUCUGUUGGCUUCUUCGCGAGUGACAGCGAUGCUUUCCCAGUUGGAAGACCUGAGCCCUGCUCCUUUGCGAUCCGCCGAAGGCUGCAGGGAGCAUCCUCAUCCAUUUGGGCACCCCCGUCCAGGAAGAGCCCGGCCAUCCCUUUCCAGCCUGGAUCCUUCAGAGGUGAAUUUUCUUCUAUGGAUUCCGAUUUGCUCGGUCUGACCAGCCUGGGCAAUACAGCAUCGCGUGGAACCAGUGCCUCUGGGCACGCUAGCUUCACGCCGGCUCCGCCUCGCCAGCAAGCGCGUUCCCAGUGUCUGACAAUUAUUCCCAUUACUCAAAGUAAGGAGAAUACCAAGACAAUGAGAAGGAGGAAAUCUUCACAAUUUUCUGAGCUCUGUAAAGAAACGUUUUUCAGAUCUCUGUCUUUCAAGAGUCCAAGAAUUUGAACAGAUGGAAAUGUAUGUGAACCGUGUGGACGUUGUAUGUUCCAGUGCAGCUCAUCAGGCCUCUUGAUCCCUUAGCAACUAACUGCUUUGUAACAUAGCACUGCAGAGAGCUUUUCAACGAGUCUUAAUUGAGCCAAGUCCACUCCAGAGGUAUAGACAUAGAGCUUGACCUUUGAUUUCGAGCGAGACAAGAGCUACCUGUUGACGCAUGACUCAAACUGCUUUCACCGCAGUGUCUGAAGAAUAACAAAAAUUGGAGCUGAGACUGACCUAACUAGAUGAUAACGGAUGGGGGCGGUGUGAAAAGUAUGAAUGCUGUGACCAGAUUACUCUAAUUUGUAGCUAAAUUUGGGAUGUUACUUUCUUAAAAAGUGCAUCCAGCAUCCUGUAGAAGCACUAAAAUUCAGGUGAGUCAGCAGGUCAGAAAAAAACAGUACAUGCUUUUUCCAACUGCUAUUUUUAAAAACAGUAAAUACUAUUGAAUCCAAAGCAUAUAUACUGCUUUAAAAAAUGAUUCUAAUGCUUUAGCAAAGGUAAUGCUUUUAUUUUAUUAUGAGCUGCCCACGUGUACUUCUUAGGUUGUGAAUCAUUCGAGCAAUUUUUCAGUUAGAGAACAUUUUAUUCUAGAAUGAAAAUAAUACCAAAUGCCCCUCAAUAGUGUGGGGUUAGCAUAAACAUGGAAUGACAGGCAGUUUAAUAUAAAACCAGAAUAAUGACAUAAUCUUACAGUACAUUGAAGCUGCUAUAUGAUUUCUUAUGCAUAGCAUUUUGGUUUUCAUGAGCAUAAUUUCAGGGACCAUAUUUUGAUGAGUCACAGUCUUGUUUACAGUGCUAACAUUUUGUUCUCUCUUGUAACUAUGAUGGGAGUCUGAAGAAAUUUUCAACUCAUUCACCAAAGCUGCUACUUACUGUCUGCUGCUGAUAUCUUUGCAGAAAGGAUUAUGGAUAGCUCUGGGUUUCAGAAUCUUAAAGAUAUUUCCUAACCAAAGUGUAAGGGCCUAAAAGCCCUUAAUCAAGUUUCUAAUCACAAACAAGAUGGUCCUACAUUAAGGGCCAUUUGAGAGUAGCAUUCGUGUCAGUGUAUCUUUGUCCCAUAUUACAUAGGAUUCUUAUUUUAGCAUCAAAGGCAAUUCUUUCCUUGUAGAUUGAAGAGAAGCCUAACCAGUCUGUUAAGAAACAGAACACAGUAGCUACCAUUUUAUUCUCUCUCCCACAUGGCUCUGGAACCUUUUUAUUUUGAUGAACAGCUACAGAGUGAAUGCCAUUUUACAAGUUAGUUCAUUUCAUCCUCAUAACAACCUUGUGACGUAGUUAUUAUUGUUAUCUUGAAUGCACAGAGGAGAAAAUGAGACACUGAGUGGGGCACAGAGGAGAAAAUGAGACACUGAGUGGGGCACAGGGAUUGCUCCAGGCCACGCAGCCAGCAGGAGGCAGAGCCCAGGUUUAAAUGCAGAUUACUCGGCUCCCCAGUCCACACACUCACAGGAAGCUACACUCCUUGCCCAAGCAUCAGACAGGAGCUAAGAGAAACAAGGCCAUCAGAUGUCUACUUUCUUCCCUUCUUAGAUCUCCAACAGUGCUGGAAGGACUAAACAAAUGGCCGAGAGUCAUUCCAUUUUGGACAUACUGAAAACACCCCAUGGAAUUUUUAUCCUGACUUUUUUCUGCUUGUGUGGCAUUUAUGUUUAAAUAAAAGAGAAUUCCAU
rnacentral:lncRNA from 1 species